UACGUAGGGUGCAAGCGUUGUCCGGAAUUAUUGGGCGUAAAGAGCUCGUAGGCGGUUUGUCGCGUCGAAUGUGAAAACCCGGGGCUCAACUCCGGGCCUGCAUUCGAUACGGGCAGACUAGAGUUCGGUAGGGGAGACUGGAAUUCCUGGUGUAGCGGUGAAAUGCGCAGAUAUCAGGAGGAAUACCGGUGGCGAAGGCGGGUCUCUGGGCCGAUACUGACGCUGAGGAGCGAAAGCGUGGGGAGCGAACAGG
rnacentral:rRNA from 1 species